UACGUAGGGACCAAGCGUUGUUCGGAUUUACUGGGCGUAAAGGGCGCGUAGGCGGCAAUUCAAGUCAGUUGUGAAAUCUCCGAGCUUAACUCGGAACGGUCAACUGAUACUGUUUUGCUAGAGUACAGAAGGGGCAAUCGGAAUUCUUGGUGUAGCGGUGAAAUGCGUAGAUAUCAAGAGGAACACCUGAGGUGAAGACGGGUUGCUGGGCUGAUACUGACGCUGAGACGCGAAAGCGUGGGGAGCGAACAGG
rnacentral:rRNA from 1 species